AGUCAAGUAAUUAAGUGCAUGUGGUGGAUGCCUUGGCAGUCAGAGGCGAUGAAAGACGUGAUAGCCUGCGAAAAGCUCCGGGGAGGCGGCAAAUAUCCUUUGAUCCGGAGAUGUCUGAAUGGGGGAACCCACCUACUUUAAGGUAGGUAUUGCAACAUGAAUACAUAGUGUUGCAAGGCGAACGAGGGGAAGUGAAACAUCUCAGUACCCUUAGGAAAAGAAAUCAAUUGAGAUUCCCUCAGUAGCGGCGAGCGAACGGGGAUCAGCCCAUUAAGUUAUGUGUGUUUUAGUGGAACGCUCUGGGAAGUGCGAACGUAGAGGGUGAUAUUCCCGUACACGAAAGGGCACACAUAAUGAUGACGAGUAGGGCGAGGCACGUGAAACCUUGUCUGAAUAUGGGGGGACCAUCCUCCAAGGCUAAAUACUCCUGACUGACCGAUAGUGAACCAGUACCGUGAGGGAAAGGCGAAAAGAACCCCUGUGAGGGGAGUGAAAUAGAUCCUGAAACCGCAUGCAUACAAGCAGUGGGAGCACCUUCGUGGUGUGACUGCGUACCUUUUGUAUAAUGGGUCAGCGACUUAUAUUCAGUAGCGAGGUUAACCGUAUAGGGGAGCCGUAGAGAAAUCGAGUCUUAAUAGGGCGUUUAGUUGCUGGGUAUAGACCCGAAACCAGGCGAUCUAUCCAUGAGCAGGUUGAAGGUUGGGUAACACUAACUGGAGGACCGAACCCACUGUCGUUGAAAAGCCAGGGGAUGACUUGUGGAUAGGGGUGAAAGGCUAAUCAAGCCUGGUGAUAGCUGGUUCUCCCCGAAAGCUAUUUAGGUAGCGCCUCGGACGAAUACCAUAGGGGGUAGAGCACUGUUUCGGCUAGGGGGUCAUCCCGACUUACCAAACCGAUGCAAACUCCGAAUACCUAUGAGUACUAUCCGGGAGACAGACUGCGGGUGCUAACGUCCGUAGUCAAGAGGAAAACAAUCCAGACCGCCAGCUAAGGCCCCAAAAUCAUAGUUAAGUGGGAAACGAUGUGGGAAGGCAUAGACAGCUAGGAGGUUGGCUUAGAAGCAGCCACCCUUUAAAGAAAGCGUAAUAGCUCACUAGUCGAGUCGGCCUGCGCGGAAGAUGUAACGGGGCUAAAACUAUGUGCCGAAGCUGCGGAUGUAUACUUUGUAUACGUGGUAGGGGAGCGUUCUGUAAGCCGAUGAAGGUGUGUUGAGAAGCAUGCUGGAGGUAUCAGAAGUGCGAAUGCUGACGUGAGUAACGACAAAACGGGUGAAAAACCCGUUCGCCGAAAGACCAAGGGUUCCAGUCCAACGUUAAUCGGGGCUGGGUGAGUCGACCCCUAAGGCGAGGCCGAAAGGCGUAGUCGAUGGGAAAAUGGUUAAUAUUCCAUUACUUCUGUGUAAUGCGAUGAGAGGACGGAGAAGGCUAAAUCAGCCUGGCGUUGGUUGUCCAGGUGAAAGGAUGUAGGCAUGUAUCUUAGGCAAAUCCGGGGUACUCUAUGCUGAGAUCUGAUAGCAAGCUGUACUUGUACAGCGAAGUGGUUGAUGCCAUGCUUCCAGGAAAAGUCUCUAAGCUUCAGUUACACAGGAAUCGUACCCGAAACCGACACAGGUGGUCAGGUCGAGUAGACCAAGGCGCUUGAGAGAACUCUGCUGAAGGAACUAGGCAAAAUGGUACCGUAACUUCGGGAGAAGGUACGCUGUUGUUGGUGAUGGAACUCGCUUCCUGAGCUGACGACAGCCGCAGAAACCAGGCCGCUGCAACUGUUUAUUAAAAACAUAGCACUCUGCAAACACGAAAGUGGACGUAUAGGGUGUGAUGCCUGCCCGGUGCUGGAAGGUUAAUUGAUGGGGUUAGCGUAAGCGAAGCUCUUGAUCGAAGCCCCAGUAAACGGCGGCCGUAACUAUAACGGUCCUAAGGUAGCGAAAUUCCUUGUCGGGUAAGUUCCGACCUGCACGAAUGGCAUAAUGAUGGCGGCGCUGUCUCCAGCAGAGGCUCAGUGAAAUCGAAAUCGCUGUGAAGAUGCA
rnacentral:rRNA from 1 species